rnacentral:rRNA from 1 species
AUUGAACGCUGGCGGCAGGCUUAACACAUGCAAGUCGAGCGAGCGGCGGACGGGUGAGUAACGUCUGGGAAACUGCCAGAAGGAGGGGGUUAACUACUGGAAACGGUAGCUAAUACCGCAUACCAUCAGAUGUGCCCAGAUGGGAUUGGCUAGUAGGUGGUGUAAUGGCUCACCAAGGCGCCGAUCACUAGCGGGUCUGAGAGGGUGACCAGCGACACUGGAACUGAGACACGGUCCAGACUCCGACGGGAGGCAGCAGUGGGGAAUAUUGCACAAUGGGGGCAAGCCUGAUGCAGCCAUGCCGCGUGUGUGAAGAAGGCCUUCGGGUUGUAAAGCACUUUCAGCGAGGAGGCGUUACGCGCAGAAGAAGCACCGGCUAACUCCGUGCCAGCAGCCGCGGUAAUAC